AUUACCAUCUUCUUCCUUGAGAAGAACGAUGGUUUAUUCAUUCGGUUUCUUCAUUCCUCCAUAGAUCCUGAACUUCUGAAAUCGAAAUCGAAGGUGGUUCAUCUCCAAAGUUUUGGCGAUCGAAAAUGGUUCAUAUUGUUCACGAUCGAAGAUAUUACAUCUAGUUGAAGAUCGAAAUCUAAGAUGAAUUAUUUUUAUCAAUCAAAGAAGAGCCAGAGAACGGUAGCAGUGGUGGUAUCCGGAAACCAGAUCCCAUUGUAUGGAGGUGGAGCGAGUCUUAGCAGUUUGGGGGGAAACCUGACGACGCCGGUGUCUCUGAAACUUGACUUUAAAGUCCGUUCAAGAGCUUACGUUCUGGGUCAACUGGUUAAACCAAAACUCUACAAAAACAUCGACUGCUCAAUCAUCUUUGAUCCCAAGAAGCUCCAAGUCCCUCUUCCUCUUAAGAAUUGCACAUACAAUUAAAUUUGUUUUUCAGUCUCAGAUGUAGCAAGCCCCAAGAAGCGAAUGCGGAACCACAAAAACCUUCAACUUCUCUAAAUCCCACUCAUCGCCCUUGUAAAUCAGCCUCCAACCCUGCUUCCAGGGGCCUCCAUCCACAUCCAGGAACUUGAUCUUAUCAUAGAGAUCCUUAUUCGUGAUAUCGACGACAGCAGCAGAAGCGACCUCAUUUCCGCCCUCCAACAAGGCGGGCUUUCGAUUAACUGGUUUUCUAAACUUGGACUGACGGAAAUUUCUGGGUCUGAAAGGAGUAGAGAGAGGUUUUGGGAUACCAUAGCGGAAGAUGAUAGCGAUGAAGAAGAGAACGGAGAUCGAGAGGCCAAUAGUGAAGAAGUUAGCGAAGAUGAAAUCACGAACAGGCACUCGCCGCCGAGACUUCCUGGGAAGCUUCGAUUUAGUUGAAUUAGAUGAAUAUGGGAGGAGAGAGUUGGCUCAUCCUCCCCGUCGGCUACUGCCGGUGCCGGAGGAGAAGGCCAUGGAUAGAUCAAAUUCCAAUCACUAGGAUACACCAACUAACAACUGUGGAACUGCCGUCGUUAGCUCGGCUGAAGCCAAUUGGAAAUUUUCAGAUCUGCUUUCAUAUGGUUGGCGUUGUACAUUUCAGCAAUGAAGAAUGGAAGUUCCAAUAGCUCAGGUGAUCAGACUCAGGAAACCUCGAUCAGAGAGAUCGGAGUCAGGCAACUCUCUCCCUCCAACGGCUCCAAGAAUUCCAAAUUGACGAACCUUCGAUCAGCCAUCAAGAGAGUGUUUUUUAAAAAAAGGGAAAGGGGGUAAAUGGGUCAUUUAACAUGAACUCCUAAGAGUUAAAAACAUAGGGUACGAUUGUAAUUUCAAACUUCAAAGGGGUCUAAGACUCUAAGUGUAAUAUUUGAAAAAUAUAGAAGAAGGGAGUGUAAUUUUCUCUUUUUUCCAAGCAA